GAUGAGCCAGAAUUGGCACCUUGUCUAUAAAUAAGGUGCAAAAUGAUUUUAACUGAAGAGUUUGAUCAUGGCUCAGAUUGAACGCUGGCGGCAGGCUUAACACAUGCAAGUCGAGCGGGGGAAGGUAGCUUGCUACUGGACCUAGCGGCGGACGGGUGAGUAAUGCUUAGGAAUCUGCCUAUUAGUGGGGGACAACAUCUCGAAAGGGAUGCUAAUACCGCAUACGUCCUACGGGAGAAAGCAGGGGAUCUUCGGACCUUGCGCUAAUAGAUGAGCCUAAGUCGGAUUAGCUAGUUGGUGGGGUAAAGGCCUACCAAGGCGACGAUCUGUAGCGGGUCUGAGAGGAUGAUCCGCCACACUGGGACUGAGACACGGCCCAGACUCCUACGGGAGGCAGCAGUGGGGAAUAUUGGACAAUGGGGGGAACCCUGAUCCAGCCAUGCCGCGUGUGUGAAGAAGGCCUUAUGGUUGUAAAGCACUUUAAGCGAGGAGGAGGCUACUUUAGUUAAUACCUAGAGAUAGUGGACGUUACUCGCAGAAUAAGCACCGGCUAACUCUGUGCCAGCAGCCGCGGUAAUACAGAGGGUGCGAGCGUUAAUCGGAUUUACUGGGCGUAAAGCGUGCGUAGGCGGCUUAUUAAGUCGGAUGUGAAAUCCCCGAGCUUAACUUGGGAAUUGCAUUCGAUACUGGUGAGCUAGAGUAUGGGAGAGGAUGGUAGAAUUCCAGGUGUAGCGGUGAAAUGCGUAGAGAUCUGGAGGAAUACCGAUGGCGAAGGCAGCCAUCUGGCCUAAUACUGACGCUGAGGUACGAAAGCAUGGGGAGCAAACAGGAUUAGAUACCCUGGUAGUCCAUGCCGUAAACGAUGUCUACUAGCCGUUGGGGCCUUUGAGGCUUUAGUGGCGCAGCUAACGCGAUAAGUAGACCGCCUGGGGAGUACGGUCGCAAGACUAAAACUCAAAUGAAUUGACGGGGGCCCGCACAAGCGGUGGAGCAUGUGGUUUAAUUCGAUGCAACGCGAAGAACCUUACCUGGCCUUGACAUACUAGAAACUUUCCAGAGAUGGAUUGGUGCCUUCGGGAAUCUAGAUACAGGUGCUGCAUGGCUGUCGUCAGCUCGUGUCGUGAGAUGUUGGGUUAAGUCCCGCAACGAGCGCAACCCUUUUCCUUACUUGCCAGCAUUUCGGAUGGGAACUUUAAGGAUACUGCCAGUGACAAACUGGAGGAAGGCGGGGACGACGUCAAGUCAUCAUGGCCCUUACGGCCAGGGCUACACACGUGCUACAAUGGUCGGUACAAAGGGUUGCUACACAGCGAUGUGAUGCUAAUCUCAAAAAGCCGAUCGUAGUCCGGAUUGGAGUCUGCAACUCGACUCCAUGAAGUCGGAAUCGCUAGUAAUCGCGGAUCAGAAUGCCGCGGUGAAUACGUUCCCGGGCCUUGUACACACCGCCCGUCACACCAUGGGAGUUUGUUGCACCAGAAGUAGCCUAGCCUAACUGCAAAGAGGGCGGUUACCACGGUGUGGCCGAUGACUGGGGUGAAGUCGUAACAAGGUAGCCGUAGGGGAACCUGCGGCUGGAUCACCUCCUUAA
rnacentral:rRNA from 1 species